CCUACGGGCGACAGCAGUGAGGAAUAUUGGUCAAUGGGCGAGAGCCUGAACCAGCCAAGUCGCGUGAGGGAGUACUGCCCUAUGGGUUGUAAACCUCUUUUGUCGGGGAGCAAAAGCCGGACGUGUCCGGCUGUGAGAGUACCCGAAGAAAAAGCAUCGGCUAACUCCGUGCCAGCAGCCGCGGUAAUACGGAGGAUGCGAGCGUUAUCCGGAUUUAUUGGGGUUAAAGGGUGCGCAGGCGGAUUUUUAAGUCAGCGGUCAAAUCGUGGGGCUCAACCCCAUCCAGCCGUUGAAACUGGGGAUCUAGAGUGUGCGAGAGGUAUGCGGAAUGCGUGGUGUAGCGGUGAAAUGCAUAGAUAUCACGCAGAACCCCGAUUGCGAAGGCAGCAUACCGGUGCACAACUGACGCUCAGGCACGAAAGCGUGGGUAUCGAACAGGAUUAGAUACCCGGGUAGUC
rnacentral:rRNA from 1 species